rnacentral:rRNA from 1 species
UACGUAGGGUCCGAGCGUUGUCCGGAAUUAUUGGGCGUAAAGGGCUCGUAGGCGGUUCGUCGCGUCGGCUGUGAAAACCCGGAGCUCAACUCCGGGCCUGCAGUCGAUACGGGCGGACUUGAGUGUUGCAGGGGAGACUGGAAUUCCUGGUGUAGCGGUGAAAUGCGCAGAUAUCAGGAGGAACACCGGUGGCGAAGGCGGGUCUCUGGGCAACUACUGACGCUGAGGAGCGAAAGCGUGGGGAGCAAACAGG